AUUGAUGGAAAGGAGUUUUCAUAGAAAUCACAAUUGGAUUUGAGCUGAUCAGAUCUACUAUAUGAUUGAUGUUGAGAUUUGACGAUUUAUCUAUAACCUGCCAUCCAGUCGGGACUCACAAUAGAGGAACUGAAUCACAUGCUAACUACACCUUGAGAUUCAUUUUUGAUUCUACUGGGUUGCCACUACAUACUACUAC
rnacentral:lncRNA from 1 species